GGGAAGGUAAAAGUCGUAACAAGGUCUCCGUUGGUGAACCAGCGGAGGGAUCAUUACUGAGUUUACGCUCUACAACCCUUUGUGAACAUACCUAUAACUGUUGCUUCGGCGGGUAGGGUCUCCGCGACCCUCCCGGCCUCCCGCCUCCGGGCGGGUCGGCGCCCGCCGGAGGAUAACCAAACUCUGAUUUAACGACGUUUCUUCUGAGUGGUACAAGCAAAUAAUCAAAACUUUUAACAACGGAUCUCUUGGUUCUGGCAUCGAUGAAGAACGCAGCGAAAUGCGAUAAGUAAUGUGAAUUGCAGAAUUCAGUGAAUCAUCGAAUCUUUGAACGCACAUUGCGCCCGCCAGCAUUCUGGCGGGCAUGCCUGUUCGAGCGUCAUUUCAACCCUCAAGCUCUGCUUGGUGUUGGGGCCCUACAGCCGAUGUAGGCCCUCAAAGGUAGUGGCGGACCCUCCCGGAGCCUCCUUUGCGUAGUAACUUUACGUCUCGCACUGGGAUCCGGAGGGACUCUUGCCGUAAAACCCCCCAAUUUUCCAAAGGUUGACCUCGGAUCAGGUAGGAAUACCCGCUGAACUUAAGCAUAUCAAUAAGCGGAGGA
rnacentral:rRNA from 1 species